CCUACGGGAGGCAGCAGUGAGGAAUAUUGGUCAAUGGACGAGAGUCUGAACCAGCCAAGUAGCGUGAAGGAUGACUGCCCUAUGGGUUGUAAACCUCUUUUAUAAAGGAAUAAAACGCGGCACGUGUGCCUUUUUGCAUGUACUUUAUGAAUAAGGAUCGGCUAACUCCGUGCCAGCAGCCGCGGUAAUACGGAGGAUCCGAGCGUUAUCCGGAUUUAUUGGGUUUAAAGGGAGCGUAGAUGGGUUGUUAAGUCAGGUGUGAAAGUUUGCGGCUCAACCGUAAAAUUGCAAUUGAUACUGGCAGUCUUGAGUACGGUAGAGGUAGGCGGAAUUCGUGGUGUAGCGGUGAAAUGCUUAGAUAUCACGAAGAACCCCGAUUGCGAAGGCAGCUUACUAAACUGUGACUGACAUUGAUGCUCGAAAGUGUGGGUAUCGAACAGGAUUAGAUACCCCUGUAGUC
rnacentral:rRNA from 1 species